AUUGAACGCUGGCGGCAGGCCUAACACAUGAAAGUCGAGCGGAGCGGCGGACGGGUGAGUAAUGCCUAGGAAUCUGCCUGGUAGUGGGGGAUAACGUCCGGAAACGGGCGCUAAUACCGCAUACUAUCAGAUGAGCCUAGGUCGGAUUAGCUAGUUGGUGGGGUAAAGGGCUACAAAGGCGACGAUCCGUCACUGGUCUGAGAGGAUGAACAGUCAGACUGGAACUUAGACACGGUCCAGAAUCCACAGGGGAGCAACAGUGGGGAAGAAUGGGCAAGGGUCGAAAGCCUGAUCCAGCCCUGCCGCGUGUGUGAAGAAGUGCUUCGGAUUGUAAAGCACUUUAAGUUGGGAGGCGUUACCAACAGAAUAAGCACCGGCUAACGUCGUGCCAGCAGCCGCGGUAAAAC
rnacentral:rRNA from 1 species